rnacentral:misc_RNA from 1 species
GAUGAAGAACGUAGCGAAAUGCGAUAAGUAGUGUGAAUUGCAGAAUUCAGUGAAUCAUCGAAUCUUUGAACGCACAUUGCGCCCUUUGGUAUUCCUUAGGGCAUGCCUGUUCGAGCGUCAUUUAAACCUUCAAGCUCAGCUUGGUGUUGGGUGACUGUCCGUUUCACCGCGGACUCGCCUCAAAAUUAUUGGCGGCCGGUACAUUGGCUUCGAGCGCAGCAGAAACGCGAACUCGGGCCCGUCGUAUUGGCUCCCAGAAGCUAUCUUCACAAUUUUGACCUCGGAUCAGGUAGGGAUACCCGCUGAACUUAAGCAUAUCAAUAAGCGGAGGA